GGCUUUCUGAAUCCGUACCGAGAUUUCGUCAGACACCAAACCACUAUGGAUGAUCAUACUUCCAAGACAAGUGAAGUU
rnacentral:pre_miRNA from 1 species